UAAUAGCUAUUUAAGGAUGAGAUGGAUGGCGUUUAAAAAUAUCUAAUUACCCAAAGGGGUGAAAUGAACUCCGUCACGCAGAAAUAGGCGGGGCUAUUAUGUUUCAUGUGAGGAUGGCUAACCCAGUGCCUUUCCAAAACCUGAACAAAUUUGAUAAGCGCAUUGUUUACACAUUUCCUUGCUCUGUCUAUUUUGGAAGGCCUGCCAGCACUCCACAGGGACCUUGAGGUGACGUAGGAGAAAGGAAGCACCAGUAAGGGGCCUGCAGGCAUCCUUCAUCUCUUUUACAGCCUUGGCUGAAAGCAAUGUGCAACAUCGUAAAUUGUCCGAAAAUCCGAAAAUGGUGAUAGAAAAUGGUGUUUCAUAAAGAAGGAGAGGAUGGAAUGUCCACUACCAAGUAUUCUGAUGAGUUUAACAAUUAUUCUUUAUCUCUUCCUUUGAAAUGAUUCUGAGGCCUUAUGCGUUGUGACAGCAGUUAUUGAAAUUCUGCAAGUAUAAAGGUACCCAAAUCCGGCAGUUAACGGAGCUCCCAAAUUAAGAAAGGCCUGGCCAUUUGUUUAUUUUGCUUCUACUUUUUACCCCCAUGCAGACACCUGCAUACACAACCCACCCAUCUAUACUUGUGAAUAUUUGUUAGUGGUGUUAAUACCAUGUCUGAUUUAUUAUGUGUGGUCUUUUUAUUUGGUUUUAGUAUGUUCUUCACAGGUGUGAAAGGAUACACCUUUAAAGGACACGCAAAACAAAGUUUUCUGAAGUAUCUGGAGUCAGAAUUUUGGCUGCACACAGGUUAUGGUGAUAGUGACCCCGAAUGGUAUCUAGAUGUAUGGAAGGGAUAAUUUGACCGAGAUCAGUGGGAGCCCCACCCCCUCCAACCGGCUAAAGUAAUGGCGUCCACUACAGCCCUGUCCACUACAGCCCACCACUUCUAUCUGAGACCUGAAUCCAAGCCAGCAACAUAUGCAGCAUUCAGUCGAAGCUAUCGACUGCCUUUUCUCUCAGGAGUGCUGCAUGAGUUGUCCCGAGAUCGAGUGCGUGGGGUGAGCAUGGAGGGAUCACUUCUAAAGGCAGAAUGGACAUUAAAGGAUGUUUGCGGCAGCUCAGGUGAGAGAUCGUCUAGUUUGGAAAAUCCGAGUAUCCCUUAGAUAUUGACAUCGGGACCCACUCUGACAGGCAUGAGUUACAUCAAAUUGGGUUUGUCACAUGCGCCGAAUACAACAGGUGUAGUAGACCUUACAGUGAAAUGCUUACUUACAAGCCCUUAACCAACAAUGCAGUUUUAAGAAAAAUACCUAAAAAAAUAAGAAAUAAAGUAACAUAAUUAAAGAGCAGCAGUAAAAUAAUAAUAGCGAGGCUAUAUACAGGGGGUACCGGUACAGUGUCAAUGUGCAGGGGCACCGGUUAGUUGAGGUAAUUGAGGUAAUAUAUGCAUGUGGGUAGAGUUAUUAAAGUGACUUAUGCAUAGAUAAUAACAGAGAG